rnacentral:rRNA from 1 species
AUUUCUGCUCCAUGACACGUUAAAUAGCCGCAGUACUCUGACUGUGCAAAGGUAGCAUAAUCAAUUGGCUUUUAAUUAGAGUCUGGUAUGAAUGAAUACAUGGAAUGUAACUGUCUUGAAGGUAUUAUUAUUAAUUUAGUGAGUAAGUGCAAAUCCUUACAAAAUUAAGAAAGACGAGAAGACCCUAGAAGCUUCAAAAAUAUUUUGUUGGGGCGACAGAACUACAUUUAACUAGUUUUAAAUAACGUGACGUUUACUGAUAGAUUAAGCUACUCUAGGGAUAACAGCAUAAUGUAAACCGUUUGUGACCUCGAUGUUGGACUAGGUACAGUAUUCUUUAGAAGAGAGUAUGACUUGCUCUGUUCGAGCGGAACUACCU